GAUGAACGCUGGCGGCGUGCUUAACACAUGCAAGUCGAACGAAGAGGCCCAGCUUUUGGGGUGUGUUCGUGGGGAACGGGUGUGUGACACAUGAGUAAACUGCCCUCAACUCUGUGGUAUGCCUGGAGAACAGUGGGGAUAACACGGUAUAGGCGUCCACGCCGCGGGGGGGGGUGUGGAAAUUUACCGGUUUUGGAUGGACUCGCGGCUUAUCAGCUUGUUGGUGUGGUAUUGGCUCACCAAGGCGACGACGGGUAGCCGGCCUGAGAGGGUGACCGGCCACACUGGGACUGAGAGACGGCCCAGACUCCUACGGGAGGCAGCAGUGGGGAAUAUUGCACAAUGGGCGGAAGCCUGAUGCAGCGACGCCGCGUGAGGGAUGACGGCCUUCGGGUUGUAAACCUCUUUCGGCAGGGACGAAGCGAGAGUGACGGUACUUGCAGAAGAAGCACCGGCUAACUACGUG
rnacentral:rRNA from 1 species